ACUAAAUCAUCUCUAACCAGACAAUCCAAUCCCCCUUCUCCUUCAACCAAACGACCCUCUCUCUCCCUUCCCCUUCAACCAGCGCGAACCCCGACGCCGCCAUCCCACCCUGUCACGUCACUUCCAUCACGUCGUCACCACCACCACGACCAUCAGACUGCCAAAACCACCUUCCCUCUCUCUUGAAUCGAAAAAGGGUAGCGAAAUCUGUGGGUUUAGAACGUUCCAUCGCCUCUACUGCUCCACAUCUUUUUGACUGGCGCGGUGGCAGAAGGAACCAGUAAGGGGUCGUAUCAACCUCUGUGGGGGAGAGGUGUAGUGAACCGUCGGUUCCAACUAAUGGCUCGCCGACUGUUAAGACGCGCGAAUCCACCAAAUUCAGAGUCCCAAGGAACCUCUGGAUUUGAAAACCCAUCUGAAAAGUUCUCGGCUGAAACAACAAGCUUUCGAGUGGAUUCGGAGACUCGACGACGACAAUAGCCUCAGUUCGCUGUCACGGAGAAGGUAAUCACAUUCGUCCUAUCUUCGUCUUUAAUUUUAUUAAAGUAGAAAUGUAGUCGUCAAGUGUUUUUCUCGUCGUUUGUUUGGUUUGGUUGGCUGGAAUAUGUGUCCUGCUCGUUUGUGGUAAAUUAGUGUGAGUCGACUAAUUUCGUUGCUCGACCAAAAGAUAAUUUUCUUCCUCGACUUAGCAUUGUUCUUCAAUUAUGUAUAUUUCCAGUUUGAGGUAGAUUAGAUUAGCUUCAGUCCUGUUUAAUUAAGAUGUUUAGUUUCCUCUUAAAAUAUUUCUUAUUUUUUUGCGAUUCUGUCUAGCGUCAUGUAAUUCAGUUGAGUUUCAAUCUCGUUAAGUUAGAUAACUAAGCUUUCUUUCCCUAAACUCUCCGGAGGGUGCAAAGCACGAAUUCAUACUCCUUUGGUUAAAAUCAUGAUUUUCCCUUAGAUAAUAUGAUCUGUAGACUUGUAGCCAUGUGUCUUCAAUAUUAAUAAAUGCAUUGUUAAUUUUGGGGAUUCAUGAGAAUUAAGUUACUUUCAACUUUGUUUGAUUUAGGUUCCACAAAUUUGUUUAUGCUUCGUGUAGAUGGGUUUGGUUUUCAAUUCUAGUUGAACUAAAAUGCUAGCCUUUCUUUUCAAGCUCUUUGUGUAUUCCAAACGUCGACUAGUUGUUUGAUUCUGUGUUGGCUCCGUAUGGAUCGAGUGGGAGCCUUCUUCUUCUUAAAUGGUUAUCCUCAAGCUAGAUAAGCUAACCUGUUCUUCUUGGUGGCUUCAAAUGAUAGAGCAUGACAUUGGUAGCGACUUAGAGAUCAUAUCUAUAGGUCUAAAUAGCCUAUGUUCAAUCUGAAACAGGACUCUUUUUGUUCACAUUUGUACAAGUCAAUAACUAGGAUCAUUUUUUUAGUUGGUUCAGAUGUUUUAUGCUGAUGUCACGAAGUUAUGAAGUUUGUUAAUGCUCAUGUGCAGUGGGUAUUUUCAAAUCUCCCAGGAUAUUUAUUAUAAAGAGAAAUGUUUGAAGAAGUGUCCUUCCUUUACAUCUUAGAAAAAUAAAAGCACUUCCUUGUGAGAGUAUUUUCUUUACUUCUAACUAGUACUUUCCUUCCUGUCAUAAUUUUUUUUAAAAAAAACUCUAUUUCUUACUAUAACCGGAUACUAUAUGAAACGAACAUGUUAGCUUAGUUUGAUCCUAUACAUAGAUUCUGUCUACAUGAUAUUUGUGGAGAUUUAUUAAAGUAUAUAGUUAUAUAGAUUUUUCUAGCUUAUUAAUUUUAGUUUGAAUGUCGCUUUGGAAGUACAGAUUCGACUAAAUCCAUAACUGGCUGCAAAAAGAAAAAAAAUAUAUUUCUAUACCAAGAAUAUAACCCACAAAUACUACGUUCUCUCUUUGUGCCUAAUUCGAAUGUCAUUAUUUUGGUGCAUAACUUCGCUGCAUAAGCUCAUUGCAUUCUAUGACAUACGCAGCGGCAUUUUUUGUCUAACAUGGGGAGAUAGUUUUUGGGACUGAUUUUGAUUAAGUUAAAGAUGAAGUGCUUAAACAAUGUGACUCGACAAGUUCUCUUCAAGCAAGAAAUAAACUCCCAGAUUUCAAAUUUAAAGAGUUCAUCUUCAUCUUCCUUGGUUUAUGGUUUUUGGGAUCUAGUCAUAUUAGGGACUGUUCUGAAACUUGGCUUUCUAGUCAUUUUAGACUGUUUGUAAAACUUAAACCAAAGUAUGAUAUUUUAAGGCAAUCAUGAGCAGAUUUGAGCCAUUUUACUGCUGCGUUUUAGGCCAUUUCACAGCCACGUUUUUGGCAAUUCGCUGCUGAAUUUUGGGCCUAAACAUCGCUGCUCUUGCUGCCAUUUUAUUGCUGCAUUUUCUGCCAUUUUUACUGCUGCGUUUAGGCCAUUUUAUAGCUGCGUUUUUGGCAAUUCGCUGCUGAUAUUUCGGGCCUAAACAUUGUGGCAUUUUCUACUAUUCUGCUGCUGUGUUUUGAGCCAUAAACGGCUGCAUUUUUGGGUCACGCACAGUUGUGUUUAUAUGGCCGAAUCGCUGCCAUCUUCAAAUCUCUAGGCCUGCUGUUAUAUGGCCGCGGCUUGGUUGCCAUUUGAGCUUGUGAAUUGAUACACUUUGAAAGAGUUGGCUACUGCUGAUUGCUACUUGUUGCUGUGGCAUUUCUUUAGAUUGCUGCACUUCAAAGGCUCUCAAAGUGCUACUUUUUUUUUAAAAAAAAUUUAUCUGCUGACUUACUGUCUAAAAUUGGCUGCUGUCCGACGUUUGUUAUAUCUUAUGGCUGCUGCUUUCUUGCCAUUCACCGCUGUCCCUCAAGGGCAGAUUGUUGGUCUGAAUGUUGAAUACUUUGAAGUUGGGCUAUGCCACUAAGGAAAUCUCUUUUCUCUUUCAAACAAACUGCAAUUUAUUACUGUCAUGUAAAUGUUAAGUGUUUCUUUUCCUUUCUUUGACAAACUAGUUGGUAAAUUCAUUUGUGGCGCUUUAUUUGAAAUGAUGGUUUCUCCUGAGCUUGCUUAUGUACCAAAUCAGUCUUUAACUGGUUCAUUUCUCACGUGAACAAAUGAUUGCUAGUUAUGCCUUCCCCCCCCUCUUUUUUUGAGACUGCCUUUCCCCUUUCUCUUCACUGUAUUACUCUUCUUUCAAACUAAAUGUGAGAUUGAUGUCCAGCCUCUUCUAUGUUUCAUUAGUCUGUUUGUUAAAACCUGAGUUAGAAUUAUUUGGUUUUAGUUUUUUUUUUUUGAGAAAGGGAGGAUUCGAAAUUGGAUCAUUGGAAAUUGUAUAUCUAGACCAUCUUGUUAUUGUGACAGCCUUUGUGGUAUUUUAGUUAUGCUUUCGUGUUUAACCCACCUAGUUAUUUUUUUAUUUGUCGCGAUCUUCUUUAUUUUAAAAUAUUUACUUAAGUCAGGUUGGCCUCUUUCCAAAGCUAAGCAGAAUAUUUGGGUAAACUAUUUAUUCUUGAUGGCAUGUUUCAUUCAUUCGAUUUUGGCGUUAUUAAGAUCAAUUAAGGGUAUCACUAAUUCUUAUCUUUUUUUUUUAUGAGGAACCUCGGGAGCAUUUGGAGUUAUGGCAACUCUGGAUUCUGCCCAGAUCAGAGAAAAACCAGCAGUUGCAUUUGCGUGCCUGUGUCUCACAGCCUUCGUUCGUGUCAAGCGUCCCCGUCCUUCCUCCUCUUCUUCAAAUUUCGUAUCUUUACGUUAACAAACAUAUAUAUAUACAUGUUUAUAUUAUUGACUAACAUUUUUGGAUGAUAUUUGUAGCAUAUUUAUUUCUUAUU